rnacentral:rRNA from 1 species
AGUAAUGCCUAGGAAUCUGCCUGGUAGUGGGGGGACGAACGUUUCGAAAGGAACGCUAAUACCGCAUACGUCCUACGGGAGAAAGCAGGGACCUUCGGGCCUUGCGCUAUCAGAUGAGCCUAGGUCGGAUUAGCUAGUUGGUGAGGUAAUGGCUCACCAAGGCGACGAUCCGUAACUGGUCUGAGAGGAUGAUCAGUCACACUGGAACUGAGACACGGUCCAGACUCCUACGGGAGGCAGCAGCC